UCUCCUGGAAACGGGUGGUAAUGCCGGAUGCUCCAGUUGAUCGCAUGGUCUUCUGGGAAAGCUUUCGCGGUAUGGGAUGGGGUCGCGUCCUAUCAGCUUGACGGCGGGGUAACGGCCCACCGUGGCUUCGACGGGUAGCCGGCCUGAGAGGGCGACCGGCCACAUUGGGACUGAGAUACGGCCCAGACUCCUACGGGAGGCAGCAGUGGGGAAUAUUGCACAAUGGGCGCAAGCCUGAUGCAGCGACGCCGCGUGAGGGAUGGAGGCCUUCGGGUUGUAAACCUCUUUUAUCGGGGAGCAAGCGUGAGUGAGUUUACCCGUUGAAUAAGCACCGGCUAACUACGUGCCAGCAGCCGCGGUAAUACGUAGGGUGCAAGCGUUAUCCGGAAUUAUUGGGCGUAAAGGGCUCGUAGGCGGUUCGUCGCGUCCGGUGUGAAAGUCCAUCGCUUAACGGUGGAUCCGCGCCGGGUACGGGCGGGCUUGAGUGCGGUAGGGGAGACUGGAAUUCCCGGUGUAACGGUGGAAUGUGUAGAUAU
rnacentral:rRNA from 1 species